UCGGAACGUGCCCAAUCGUGGGGGAGUAACGUAGCGAAAGCUACGCUAAUACCGCAUACGACCUACGGAUGAAAGCAGGGGACUCGCAAGAGCCUUGCGCGAAUGGAGCGGCCGAUGGCAGAUUAGGUAGUUGGUGGGGUAAAGGCUCACCAAGCCUUCGAUCUGUAGCUGGUCUGAGAGGACGACCAGCCACACUGGGACUGAGACACGGCCCAG
rnacentral:rRNA from 1 species